GAUGAACGCUGGCGGCGUGCCUAAUACAUGCAAGUCGAGCGAACAGAUGAGGAGCUUGCUCCUCUGACGUUAGCGGCGGACGGGCGAGUAACACGUGGAGAACCUACCUAUAAGACUGGGAUAACUUCGGGAAACCGGAGCUAAUACCGGAUAAUAUAUUGAACCGCAUGGUUCAAUAGUGAAAGACGGUGUUGCUGUCACUUAUAGAUGGAUCCGCGCCGCAUUAGCUAGUUGGUAAGGUAACGGCUUACCAAGGCAACGAUGCGUAGCCGACCUGAGAGGGUGGUCCGCCACACUGGAACUGAGACACGGUCCAGACUCCUACGGGAGGCAGCAGUAGGGAAUCUUCCGCGAUGGGCGAGUGCCUGACGGAGCAACGCCGCGUGAGUGAUGAAGGUCUUCGGAUCGUAAAACUCUGUUAUUAGGGAAGAACAAAUGUGUAAGUAACUAUGCACGUCUUGACGGUACCUAAUCAGAAAGCCACGGCUAACUACGUG
rnacentral:rRNA from 1 species